AUUGAACGCUGGCGGCAUGCUUUACACAUGCAAGUCGAACGGUAACAGGCCGCAAGGUGCUGACGAGUGGCGAACGGGUGAGUAAUGCAUCGGAACGUGCCCAGUCGUGGGGGAUAACGCAGCGAAAGCUGUGCUAAUACCGCAUACGAUCUGUGGAUGAAAGCGGGGGACCGAAAGGCCUCGCGCGAUUGGAGCGGCCGAUGUCAGAUUAGGUAGUUGGUGGGGUAAAGGCUCACCAAGCCAACGAUCUGUAGCUGGUCUGAGAGGACGACCAGCCACACUGGGACUGAGACACGGCCCAGACUCCUACGGGAGGCAGCAGUGGGGAAUUUUGGACAAUGGGCGCAAGCCUGAUCCAGCAAUGCCGCGUGCAGGAAGAAGGCCUUCGGGCUGUAAACUGCUUUUGUACGGAGCGAAACGGCUCUCUCUAAUACAGAGGGCUAAUGACGGUACCGUAAGAAUAAGCACCGGCUAACUACGUGCCAGCCGCCGCCGUAAAAC
rnacentral:rRNA from 1 species